rnacentral:lncRNA from 1 species
UUAGGCGUGCACGACGCUUUCCACUCCGGAAACGGUAGGCCGCCGAGACUUUCCGGUAACAGAGCGCCUCCGAGAGCCCAGACGCUCUCGGCUGCUCAUAUAUCGGCUUUGCUCACUCGAACCUAAACCGGAAAGUUUUUAGCUUUUCCUUUCUCUAAACCGGAACCGGGUUUCGUCUGGGACGAUGUUUUCCUAGCUUCCGUCUUCUUAAUCGUGUGAAUGUAAAAGUUAUGAAGUAUGUUGACUCCUUUAAUCGUUUUGUAAAUUACAGUUAAUUAAAUUAACUCAAGCCUACACUUGCACCGUACAAGAUAAACAAAAGAUUCUCAAUUAUCAUGUAGACGACGUAGUAACUCGCGAUGUGUCAUGAUGAAAUAGAUUAAAUGUUUUUUAAUUAUACUAAGAGUUUAAGAGCAUGAUUAACAUUGACUAUUAAUUUUGAGUUUUUAACUUAUGAUUUGAUUUUUUUUUUAUAAUUUCGAUUAAGAAUCGGUUUUUAUAUCUUCGGUUCUUAGCUUUUCUUAGUUAAAAAAUAAAAAAUAGUUUUUAACUGAAACUAAAAACUCACUCUAAAAACUUAGGUUAAUCUAAAAGACAUUGUAAAAAUGUUGAAUUUGUAGUUCGGUCCGGUUUCAAUUUAGUUUUUAUAUGUUUUCGGUUAAUACAAAUUAGUUACUAUAUUAAAAUUAUUUCUAUUUUUUUAGUUCGGUUUAUAUAUUAUCAGUUUUUUUUUUUGCAACAUUUUUUAUUAUCAGUUUUCUGGAAAACUAGAGUAAUUUAGUAAACAACAAAAAAAAAACAAGAAUUUUAAGAAAAUAACACGUUGCAAUUCUCACCUACUCACCGGUCCAGCCGAUUUUGAAAAAAACAUAUAGAUAAGACCAUCUCCAAUGUAUUUCUCUAUUUUUACCUCUAAAAUAGAGGAACUCUAUAAUAGAGAUGGGUUUUACUCCAAUGUAUUUCUCUAAAAUAGAGAUCUCUACAUAUAGAGCAAAAUAUAGAGGAAUGCUAUUUCUUCCUCUAUAAAUAGAGGAGAAAAUAGCAAUCUCUAUUUUAGAGGCAAAAAUAGAGAUGGGUUGGAGUAGUUUUGCCUCUAAAUGCUAUUAUAGAGGUAGAAAUAGAGGUGGGUUGGAGAUGCUCUAAAAGACUAACCACUAUUUACUUUCCACCACCAAAGCCAUAGAGUCUUUGGAGUUUGAAUAUACUCUUAUCCUUACUUCUAAAAUAUUUGUAUUUGUAGAAACCAUAUUGGUUCUACAAAUCAUAUCAACAAUUACAUACAGACUUUCUGUAUAAUCAGAACAUGGUGGUCAAACUAUUUGGGCAGAUAAAAGCAGGUAAUCCACAAAGAGUAUUGCUCUGUUUUCUGGAAAAGGGAAUCGAGUUUGAAGUUAUCCAUGUCGAUCUCAAUACAUUUGAGCAGAAAAAACCAGAAUAUCUUCUUCGUCAGGUAAUCUUUUCUAAUUAUUAUAGAGAAAACAAAUUGAUUAUAUAGUCUACUUGCGUAGUUCUUAUGUUCUAUACUUGUGUUAGCCGUUUGGUCAAGUUCCAGCUAUUGAAGAUGGAGAUCUGAAGCUUUUUGGUAAGAUAAUCUCUCCACAUUUAUUAAAACUUAAGGUCGAUUUGUUUCUUGACUAAGUCAGAAGUUACUGAAAAGUUUGAAACGUUUUGAAAUCUGUGUGUUUGCUUUCAGGUAGAUCGGAAUCACUCGAACCUAAACCGGAAAGUUUUUAGCAUUUUUCUUUCUCUAAACCGGAACCGGGUUUCGUCUGGGACGAUGUUUCCUAGCUUCCGUCUUCUUAAUCGUGUGAAUGUAAAAGUUAUGAAGUAUGUUGACUCCUUUAAUCGUUUUGUAAAUUACAGUUAAUUAAAUUAACUCAAGCCUACA